CGAGGGUAAAGUCGUUCGUUAGAGCAACAGAGGGGAUUACUAAUCUUACGAUCUUACUGCACCACAAAAGGCUUUUACAUAAGCUGGUUUCAUCUGUUGAUGCCCGAUGCCCGGCACCAAAAUGCUCACUUCCUCAAAGAGUACCAGCACCAGCGCCUACGCCCAAAAUCCUCGUUACUUUGGUAGCCGACAGGGACGGUCUCGAGACAACUUCUCGACCUAGAGAGGUUCAAGGAAGAAGAAGAAGAGGGAGACCAAGAAAAAGAUGGAAGGACUGUGUGAGAGGAGACUUACAUGAGAAGGGAAUUGAUGCGGCAGAAGCACAGGAUAGAAAUAGAUGGAAAAGGCUCAUCCGAAACGGCGACCCCAUAUAAAAAUGGUAACCAGCUGGGAAGAAGAAGAAGAUAUAUAUGUGUCUGUGUGUGUGUGUGUGUGUCCUUUGCAGAA